CACCAAGUAUAAGAACAAAGAUGACAAAAACAUCUUGCAAACAAGUUGUCAGUAAAUUACGGUUUAGUAAUACCUGGAAUAUGCUGAAUGUUCAUUUUUAUUUGACUAUUUGACAUAAUCCACAGAUGUGUUAUCAGUCCUCUUCAAAGUAGGGAUGUGGACACUUUAACAUGCUGACACGGAGAGCCAGAGAACAGGUGAGAUGAGUCUCUUCAGAACCAUUUGGUGGACUACCGUCAUAUUUCUCUUGUACAGAUGUACAUUCCAGGUUCGAGCCAACCCCUUAGGUCAGAGAAUGGGUAUCAUCUGUCAGGGGUCUGUGACUGUAGAACCUGGGCCACUCUUUCGCAUGGGUUCCAACCUUACAGUGUACUGCACAACCACAAAGCCCAACUGUGGCCAGAGUUUAUCUGUGGAACUGAAUGGGCAGGACCAGACGGCACUAGAGAUCUUGAACUGUUCCACUGUCCGGCUGAGACUGACUAACCUCCGCACACCAAACUCCAUUCUGGUCUGUAGGCUGCGGCAAACAGACGGACGCAUACAGACUGUUUGUGGGCUAGACCUACACACUGGAUACCCUCCUGAUGAGCCCAGUGGUAUAGCCUGCCAGGCUUCCAGGGACUCAGAGGAGAUCACCUGUAGCUGGAGCAGAGGACGGGAAACACACCUGGUCACAACCUACAAUGUCUCAGUCAGGAGUGUGAACAGAGCCCAGGUGUUUCACCGUGGGAUCCAGGGUACUGGUGUAUUCAGUAUUCCACGGUUGGAGCUGGAUGAGAAUGAACAGUACCAGCUGAGUAUAAGAGCUCACAACCACCUGGGAACAUCACUGUCCCAACCCUUCAACUUCUCUGUCAAUGAUGUAGUGAUACCAGACCCCCCUCAGAUCAUGAAGCUGGAGUUUUGGAGUGGCUCCAGGGCAGCUGUAUUGCACUGGAACUGCUCUGAAUACCCCAAACCUUUAAGACCCCACAUCAGGCUCAGAACAGGCAAUGGCUCCUGGCUGGAGCUACACUUGGAUCCUAGCGGAGGCCUGGUCAAGGUGGAGGGCCUGAAGCCCAUGAUGCAGUAUGAGUUCCAGAUCAGAGUCUGUUUCUCCAUAGAGAGGCCAACCUCUGCACAGAGGCCCACCACUGCGCUCAGGCCCUCCUCCACCCAAAGGCCCCUCUGCAGUAGAUGGAGCCCAUCAGCUAGUAAAACAAGCCCAGGCAUAGCGCCCACUAGAGAGCUGGAUGUCUGGAGGGUGUUGGGUAUCCCUGGGGUGGAUGGGGUUCAGGAUGUGACAGUACUAUGGAAGCCCCUGUCUCCAGGUGACUAUAGUGGUCAUGUGUUGAGGUAUGAGCUGGACUACCUGCAUGAGGGGCAGAGACAGGAGGAGGUCACGUAUCCUGCUGGUGUCACCCAGUGUUCUGUCCAGGUGUCACCUGGGGUUCAGGAGUUGUUUGUAAGGGCUGUCACCUCCUACGGGACAUCUCCACCUGCUACCAUACAGCUCAAACACACAGGUAUGUCUGGGCCUGUUCUGAGAAGCCUCAGUCCGGCAAACGUAGAAGGAGGGGAUGUAGUUGCCCUGUCCUGGUCACGGGAUGGAUCUAGUGGGGCUGAAGCAGAGGUACUGUUGGGCUUUUUGGUGGAGUGGAAGAGUCAACAUCAGGAACUGGGCUGGCAGAGAGUGGCCAGGGAGAGAAACACAACACUCAUCACAGGUCUGACGCCGGGAGUGAGGUAUAAUGUGUCUCUGUAUGCUGACACUACAUGGGGUGUGUCCAACCCCUCAUCUGGCCUGGUUUAUUCCAGAGAAGAUAAACCUGUGUCGGUACCGAAGGUGUCAGUGUUGGCCCGUGAAACCAGUCGGGUUCUGAUCCAAUGGGAGGAGCUACCAGUGGACCAACAGAGAGGCUUCCUAACACACUACAACAUCUACCUCAAGACACUGGACUCUGACACAGAUCAGAAUCAGAGGGUGACUGUAUCAGGGUCCAUUACAGUGUCAGGGCCCAGUCAGAGGUGGCUGGAAUGUCCUGAGGGGGCCGUGGCCCUCAGAGUGUCUGCCUCCACGGCUGCAGGGGAAGGACCACAGGGGGAGUGGCUACUCUCGCACUCUCCAGUCACUGCAGUUGGGUUGGUGGCUGGCAUGUCGCUAGUGGCAACCAUUGUCAUGGUGAUAGUGGCGAACCUGAUGUGUUGGAGCUGUGUGAGGAAAAGGAUCAAACAGACAUGUUUAUCCCUGGGUCCUGUCUGGCUUUCUGAGAACCUCCCCAAGCCUGGAAACAGCAAUGCUAUCAGACUACUGAAGCAUGAAGAGCCAGUGGUCCCAGCUUCGUCCUGGUUGUUCACCGUCAGUGACCCACCACUGUCCCCCAUUGAGGAGAUCCCUCCUGGGGAGAGGGAGGAACUGUACCCCAUCAUCCACAUUGUGCGGCUCCAGGGUGGGGCUAGGGCCGGGGGAGGAGAGGGGACAGGAGAAAGGACAGCAGCACCUCUGGAGAAUAUCGGAUACAAACCCCAGAUUACAAUCACAGCUCCACGAGACAAGACGGAGAAGAAGGAAUACAGGGGACACAUUCCCAGCUGUGAGAGAACAGACAGAUGCCCUGAGGAGUCUGGAGGACUGCUAGGAGGCUGGCUGUGUGAUGUAACAGUAGAUUUCUCUGGCAUUUCUCCAGGACUGGAUCUGAGCUCAAUGGGGCGGAACACCUCCCCAAGCCCUCCUAAGAUAACAAGCCUCUUCUCUGGGGACACGUGGCUGGAUGAGAAGGGGUUGGAGGUGGGCCUUGGUUCUCUGGACUCAGCACAGGGACAGAAAGUGGCUCUGGAGGACCCAGUCGGCUGUCUGGCUAAGACACUGACCACCGGUUACUUCCCCCAGGCUGCUGACCUCAACACCACUACCUACAACCACUGACAGAGACAUCUUUAAAGCAUUAUCUUCUCCAUCCUUCAGUGAUGAGAGGAAAGGUAUUUUUCUGACCAACUGAACAAGAGUUCCAAUGAAUGGACUUUUAUACCAUUCUAACUAAAUUUACAGUCAUACUAGUGUUUCAGAAUAAUGAACGGACUGAAAGGACACAUACCUCAAUUACAUAAUAUACUAUAACAGUGGAUUUAUAACAAUUUCUGCUCGCUGCUAUAUAAAGAUUAUGGUUCACUAUAAAGAGUCUUUCAGAUGAUAAAUGUGUGCGAACCCAUUACACCCCUUAGUUUAUCUGAUUAUGCAGGAUUUACCCACCAGCCAAGCUUCUGGGAGAGCACGAUGGCUCUCUUUUGAUUUGUUGAUAAAUGUUUCCCUGUCAAUCCCUGUUUGUCUAUUGAUGUAUACUGUACCACACAAUGGGUUUCGUGCCCAAAGAAGACAGAUGUUGAGGAUAUGUUAAGUUUACAACAUAGUUAUAUUCUGCAUCUUAGAAGUGAGGGAUACAGUAUUUGCACGCCGCUGUGUAACAUGGUAUAAUAGUAAUGGUAUAGUAAUGCAGGGUAAACUGACCCUAGAUCUGUUCCAGGGCUGUGUUCUCCUCAUAGAGCCACCUGCUGUACCAGGCAGUUAUAGUGACUUCCUGAAACAGACUUCUCACUUCCUCCCUGAGAGCUUAUAAAACUGAGGGUGCAUCUCAAUAGUUUACGAUGUUUCCUUGUAUCUUCAGCUCCUUUCCUUCAUUUGCUCUUAUCAAAAAUGUCUGGACUAAUGAAUUUAAAUUUCCCAGGAGGCCGCCGCAAUAUUGCUUUCAUUUGUCCUGUGUUUUAAAAUAAGUGCAGAUGAAGAGCAGGAGAAGAUUAGAGAAGAUAUUAGACAUCCAGUCUUGUGAGUGGAGAACAUCUGUAAAAAGUGUUAAUCUCCAAAUCCAGUGUGAGAGGGGGAUCCCCUACAACUGGCAAAUAUCACUCACCUGGUAUGUCACUAUGGUUGUAUUUAGAGAGGCAGACCAAUUCUGAUCUUUUUUCCCCCAAAAUGGUCUUUUGACCAAUCACAUCAGCUCUGAAAAAUAACUGAUGUGGAAAUAUGUGAUGUGAUUGGUUAAAAAAAAAUGUUGUGAAAAAAUGAUCAGAAUUGGGUUGCCUGUGUGCACACAGCCAUUUUAGGAUUGGGCUCAGAUGUGUAGGCUACUUGUCGUGCUCUGUUGAACCCGCAGAGGACAUAGCAGAGGAACUGAGAUGAGGGUUGGUCUUAUCAAAUGUCAACUGACACACAUCUCAACCAAAACAGGCUCGCACGCUUUCAGCCAAACCACUGACACACACUGCAAUGGACUGAGAAGAUAUUCAGAAAUGUAGAGGAAAAAUAUCAAAUGAGUUGAUACUGAAAGACCCCAUGGACCUUCAGCUAUGAGACACAAAUGGAAUGCAGCUCACCACUGGUAGUGAACAUCCCAGAGGUCCAAUGGCCUAUUCACCCCAUGGUUGGUGGUCUAUCCUCAUUGGCAUCACUUUGCUGUGUGCCAUAGGGUCUAGUAGAGCUGAUAAGCCAUGUACUGCAUCAUCCAGCAUUGGGGACCUGGUCCUUCUGGGCUCGAGCUUCCAGGUGUUCUGUACCUAUCAGACUAGCUGCAGAGCUUCCAAAUCAAUGCACAUCGACAAGAAGAAAAUGCUCAAAAUACAGCCCUACAACUCUACAACUAUAUUCCUCAAUGUGACAAACAUAAGUAAAAACACAACGUACACCUGCCUGUGUGAAGGAGAACCUGAGCCUUGUGGACUCGAUAUUGAUACUGGAUACACACCUGACCUGCCAGAAAAUGUAACCUGUGUCCAGAAAGCUCCAUUUCGAGAGGUGAUGUGUACAUGGAGGAGAGGAAGGGAAACUCACCUGACAACCACUUCAGAGCUCUG